CGACCCUCGGGAGUUAUCCUCGCAAGAGAAGUUCUCCCGGCCUUGGGCCAGCGCGUUGCGCGGCCCGCAGACCAGCGGCGGCAGUACCGGCGAUGUCCUCUGUGCAGUAGAUUUAUAGAAAACUCGCAUUGGUCCCCGGUAAGGCUUGCCUUGCAACCAACUUCUUUA
rnacentral:misc_RNA from 1 species